GAUGAAGAACGCAGCGAAAUGCGAUAAGUAAUGUGAAUUGCAGAAUUCAGUGAAUCAUCGAGUCUUUGAACGCACAUUGCGCCCCCUGGUAUUCCGGGGGGCAUGCCUGUCCGAGCGUCAUUGCUGCCCUCAAGCACGGCUUGUGUGUUGGGCCGUCGUCCCCCUCCUAGGGGACGGGCCCGAACGGCAGCGGCGGCACCGCGUCCGGUCCUCGAGCGUAUGGGGCUUCGUCACCCGCUCCGUAGGCCCGGCCGGCGCUUGCCGACGACCAUCAAUCUCUUUCUCCAGGUUGACCUCGGAUCAGGUAGGGAUACCCGCUGAACUUAAGCAUAUCAAUAAGCGGAGGA
rnacentral:misc_RNA from 1 species